rnacentral:rRNA from 1 species
CCUACGGGAGGCAGCAGUCGAGAAUCAUUCACAAUGGGGGAAACCCUGAUGGUGCGACGCCGCGUGGGGGAAUGAAGGUCUUCGGAUUGUAAACCCCUGUCAUGUGGGAGAAAAUUAAAAAGAUAGUACCACAAGAGGAAGAGACGGCUAACUCUGUGCCAGCAGCCGCGGUACUACAGAGGUCUCAAGCGUUGUUCGGAAUCACUGGGCGUAAAGCGUGCGUAGGCUGUUUCGUAAGUCGUGUGUGAAAGGCGCGGGCUCAACCCGCGGACGGCACAUGAUACUGCGAGACUAGAGUAAUGGAGGGGGAACCGGAAUUCUCGGUGUAGCAGUGAAAUGCGUAGAUAUCGAGAGGAACACUCGUGGCGAAGGCGGGUUCCUGGACAUUAACUGACGCUGAGGCACGAAGGCCAGGGGAGCGAAAGGGAUUAGAUACCCGAGUAGUC